rnacentral:rRNA from 1 species
UACGUAGGGGGCGAGCGUUGUCCGGAUUUAUUGGGCGUAAAGCGCGUGUAGGCGGCUCGGUAAGUCUGCUGUGAAAGCCCCGGGCUCAACCUGGGAAUGGCAGUGGAUACUGGCAAGCUAGAGUGCGGUAGAGGGUAGUGGAAUUCCCGGUGUAGCGGUGAAAUGCGUAGAGAUCGGGAGGAACACCAGUGGCGAAGGCGGCUACCUGGACCAGCACUGACACUCAGGCACGAAAGCGUGGGGAGCAAACAGG